CCGGUAGCUCAGGUGGUUAGAGCGCACGCCUGAUAAGCGUGAGGUCGGAGGUUCAAGUCCUCCCAGACC
rnacentral:tRNA from 1 species